rnacentral:rRNA from 1 species
GAUCAUGGCUCAGAUUGAACGCUGGCGGAAUGCUUUACACAUGCAAGUCGAACGGCAGGCACGGGGCAACCUGGUGGCGAGUGGCGAACGGGUGAGUAAUACAUCGGAACGUGCCCAAUCGUGGGGGAUAACGUAGCGAAAGUUACGCUAAUACCGCAUACGAUCUAAGGAUGAAAGCGGGGGAUCGCAAGACCUCGCGCGAAUGGAGCGGCCGAUGUCAGAUUAGGUAGUUGGUGGGGUAAAGGCUCACCAAGCCGACGAUCUGUAGCUGGUCUGAGAGGACGACCAGCCACACUGGGACUGAGACACGGCCCAGACUCCUACGGGAGGCAGCAGUGGGGAAUUUUGGACAAUGGGCGAAAGCCUGAUCCAGCCAUUCCGCGUGCAGGAUGAAGGCCUUCGGGUUGUAAACUGCUUUUGUCAGGGAAGAAAUCUUCUGAGUUAAUACCUCGGGAGGAUGACGGUACCUGAAGAAUAAGCACCGGCUAACUACGUG